rnacentral:rRNA from 1 species
AUUGAACGCUGGCGGCAUGCCUUACACAUGCAAGUCGAACGGCAGCGCGGACUUCGGUCUGGCGGCGAGUGGCGAACGGGUGAGUAAUACGUCGGAACGUACCCUGUUGUGGGGGAUAACUAGUCGAAAGAUUAGCUAAUACCGCAUACGACCUGAGGGUGAAAGUGGGGGACCGCAAGGCCUCACGCAGCAGGAGCGGCUGAUGUCUGAUUAGCUAGUUGGUGGGGUAAAGGCCCACCAAGGCGACGAUCAGUAGCUGGUCUGAGAGGACGAUCAGCCACACUGGGACUGAGACACGGCCCAGACUCCUACGGGAGGCAGCAGUGGGGAAUUUUGGACAAUGGGGGCAACCCUGAUCCAGCAAUGCCGCGUGUGUGAAGAAGGCCUUCGGGUUGUAAAGCACUUUUGUCCGGAAAGAAAUCGCGCUGGUUAAUACCUGGCGUGGAUGACGGUACCGGAAGAAUAAGCACCGGCUAACUACGUGCCAGCCGCCGCAGUAAAAC